rnacentral:rRNA from 1 species
CCUACGGGCGGCAGCAGUGGGGAAUAUUGGACAAUGGGGGCAACCCUGAUCCAGCCAUGCCGCGUGUGUGAAGAAGGCCCUCGGGUUGUAAAGCACUUUCAGUGAGGAAGAACGCCUGGUGGUUAAUACCCAUCAGGAAAGACAUCACUCACAGAAGAAGCACCGGCUAACUCCGUGCCAGCAGCCGCGGUAAUACGGAGGGUGCGAGCGUUAAUCGGAAUUACUGGGCGUAAAGCGCGCGUAGGUGGCUUGAUAAGCCGGUUGUGAAAGCCCCGGGCUCAACCUGGGAACGGCAUCCGGAACUGUCAAGCUAGAGUGCAGGAGAGGAAGGUAGAAUUCCCAGUGUAGCGGUGAAAUGCGUAGAGAUCGGGAGGAAUACCAGUGGCGAAGGCGGCCUUCUGGACUGACACUGACACUGAGGUGCGAAAGCGUGGGUAGCAAACAGGAUUAGAUACCCUUGUAGUC